UUUCAUUUGACGUAUCUUGACACUCACCACUGCCACGUUCAGUAUCACCAUUGCAAGGGUUAGAAGCGUGAUACGACACACUCUCUCUCUCCAUACACACCCCUUCAGCUCUCCAUAAGAUCCACAAUGACGUUCUCGCAGUCUUCCGCCUCCUCCCCUCCCCCCGCCUCCUCCGCUUCCUCCCCCUCCCGCCGCCCCCUCCCCCCAUACAAGGCCACUGAUCUUCCUCACUUGACCUUGACCGACGCAGAGAAGAAGAAGAAGAUCGAGUCCCUUCUCUCCCCGCUGAUCCUGACGGAGGCGCAGCAGGCGAAGAUCCGAGAGGUGUUCCUGGAGGAGAUGCGGCUUGGGCUGGCAGUGAACCCAGAGCGGCCUUCCUCUCUACUGAUGGAGAACACCUUUAUUCCGCAGCUCCUGGACGGCACAGUUUCUCAAUUUGAAGGGCAGUGUGGUGAAUACUUGGCACUGGAUUUGGGUGGCACCAAUUUCAGAGUCCUGUAUGUUGUGCUCAAGGACGGCAAGUUUGUGGAGGAGACCGUGGACCAUUACGCGGUGCCAACUGAGGUGAGGCUGGGAGAAGGCGAGGCGCUGUUUGACUUCCUGGCGCAGUGCUUGUCUGACUUUGUGCAGAAGAAAAACCUGUCAGGGAAAAACAUCAAGCUGGGAUUCACCUUCUCCUUCCCCAUGACGCAGAAGAGCCUGGACGUGGGCAUCCUUGCAUCCUGGACCAAAUCCUUCAACUGUUCUGGCGUGGUUGGCAAGGAUGCUGUGCAGAUGUUGAACAAGGCUAUCCACAAGAGGGACCAUUUGGAUAUUGAUGUUAAUGCUAUACUCAAUGAUACAACAGGCACACUGGUGAUGGGGUCGUACCUGGACCACCGCUGCGCCCUUGGGAUCAUCAUGGGCACGGGUUCCAACGGCGCCUACAUCGAGAAAGUGGACCGCAUUGAGAAGUGGCAAGGGAAACACAUGGAGAAGGAGAUGCUGGUGGACAUCGAGUGGGGAGCGUUUGGUGACAAUGGAGUGCUGGACUUCAUCAGGACUCAGUGGGACGAUGCCGUGGACCAGCAGAGCCUCCUGGUCCACUCCUACACGUUUGAGAAGUACUACGGCGGGAAGUACAUGGGCGACCUGUACAGAGAGGUGCUACUGACGCUGGCUCGGCAGGGGUGUCUGGGCCGGGGCGGGGAGGGGACCCUGGCAACCCACGGCUCCAUCACCACCACCACUGUCUCCAAUAUUGAAAAGGACAGCAUGGAGGGGGCACAGGCGGCGGCGCGGAAGAUGCUGGAGGAGGCACAGCUGGAGUGGAGUGAGGAGGACGUGGAAGUGGCGAGAUAUGUGGCAGGAAUCGUGUCUUACAGAGGCGCCCUGCUUGUAUCCUAUUGGUGGGUAUACUGCUGCGAAGGAUGGAACGGCCUCACUGCACCGUGGCCAUAGACGGCUCACUCUUCCGCCACCACCCGCGCAUCCGCCCGCUCAUGGAACACCUCAUUGAAAAGUUCGCCCCGGGACACCCUUUUGACCUAAUCCUGGCUCAUGAUGGGUCAGGGAAGGGCGCAGCACUGGUGGCCGCCAUUGCUGAUAGACUCCAGAACACCACCACCACCACCACCACCACCAACACCACCACCACAGCCUGACACUCUUGCCUCUAACGAUUCU
rnacentral:misc_RNA from 1 species